ACUCCUUUCCGCCGGGGAAGAAGAGCUCCGUUUCCCCGGAGUGAAGCUGUUUGCUGGUGAUUUUUAUUCCGGACCGAAAUCCGCUGUGUGUUUGACAGUGCUUUGUUUAUUUUGACACAGAAAAAGAGAUUAUCUAAAUCUUUGCCCGCCUUGUUUUGAUGAGUCACGGUUUGAUGUCUGAGUGUUAAACACUUUUAUUUUCACAAGUUGCUCAUUUAAAAAACCAAUCUGGACUAUUUCAGAUAAAUUACAUGUUAGUCAAGGGAAGCCGAACCUCAAAGUCUGGUGUUGGACGGAUGUGCCGCCAUGACAUCUUCACGUUCGCGGUCCGUCACGGCGGUGACAAUGAUUGGACCCGAACGCUGAGUCAUUUUCCGGGCAGAGAGGGAAGCCAGCAUCGUUUCUGACUCAGCCGUCAGAUGAGUCUGAAGGUCUUUGCUGGAUGUUUUCAUCAGAGAGGGGAUGUUGGGCUAAUUCACAGUGGCGACCCCAAUUGGAGCGGAUGAGAGGGCCACAGCCCCCCUGGAACAAAGCUGCCCACCCCACUGGGCCCCCAGAGAAUCAAUUUUAUCAAUUAAAAUGUAAAGCCCAAUAAAUGAAUAACUACAUAAAAUUGGUAUUUUUCUUUU